GUGACAAACCGGAGGAAGGUGGGGAUGACGUCAAGUCAUCAUGGCCCUUACGGCCUGGGCUACACACGUGCUACAAUGGUCGGUACAGAGGGUUGCCAAGCCGCGAGGUGGAGCUAAUCUCACAAAACCGAUCGUAGUCCGGAUCGCAGUCUGCAACUCGACUGCGUGAAGUCGGAAUCGCUAGUAAUCGCGAAUCAGAAUGUCGCGGUGAAUACGUUCCCGGGCCUUGUACACACCGCCCGUCACACCAUGGGAGUGGG
rnacentral:rRNA from 1 species